CACAACCAUUUAUCAGCAGAGCUCUCCCUGGAAUAAGAGUCCCUGAAGCCAGCCUCACCCACUAGCCGUUGAGACCCCUAACUGUGAGGGAUUUGCUGUUCCUGUUGCCGGGCGCCCAGCACCCCUAGAAUGUUGUGCCUGAUAUCAGGAGGAUGGAGGAACAAGGUUUACUGUGAAGGACACAGAAGCUCAACGGGAAAAGGACUACUGCUGUCCGAGUAAGAGAGACACAAAAGGCGUGUGGAGAACCCAAGCCAUGCAGAGUAUAGUGCUGACCCCAGUUGCCCUGCCUGCUGCUGAUCUACUGGAAUGAGAUAAGAGCUAUAGAAAUGGAAGGACUCUUUUGUGAACAGCCAGGCUCUGCUCCAAUCCAGACUGUCAUUACCAGAAGGUCUGCUGAUCCCACACAACUGGUGUGUUUAUGAAUGUGUUCCUGUGGACUAAGGGCGGGGCAGAACACACCCUUCUGAUAUUUUUAAAGCCAUGCUCCAAGGGACUAGCUAUAAGCUCGACACAGAGGCCUCCACACAGGUAUAAUCCAUUUGAUCUAUGCAUCACAUGGUGCCGGCAAAUCGCUUAAAGUCUCCAGACCUCCGUUUCCCCAUGCACAAAAUAAAGGGAUUGGAGGGUUGGUCUACUUCUUGGCUGGCUCUGACUUUCCAUGGCUACUGAAAGACACUAGAUUUUGAGAGACACAAACCAUAACAUCUACAAUCACGCCGCAGGCUGUCUGAGCACUGCUGAAUUAUCCCGGCAAGCACGGCGCUCCGCCCCCUGCCCGUUCAGCUUGUCCAUCCCCACAGCAGCCUAGUUUCCAGGCGGGGGAAGAGAGCCUCAGAGACGUGACCCUUCCCAAGGCCACCAUCAUGGAGUGACCGGGCCAGGACUGGAACUUCAGCCUGCUUGGCCCAACGCCUUGGUGACUUCCACUUUUGCCACAUAACACAGGGAUUUUCCGAAUUUUCAAUGAGAUAUUUUCAUGUUAUUUUGUAGGGAAACCAGAGAUAUUUUUAAAACCUUUUGGAAGGUCAAGACUACAGUCGUUUUUCAGGGUGAAUGGUUAAUCCCCCCAACAAACAACACCCUAUGUCAAAACUGCACCCAGAAUUCAGACCUUUCAAGAUGGAGGGGGAGGGGUCUCCGGGAGGAUGGAAGGCCCAGUGGCACCUGCCAGGUCUGUGAAAGACGGAAGAGGUUGAAGAAGAAAGAGUAGGAAAAAGCUUUCUUCCCCCUUAAGUUAGAAAGCGGGCAGAGAGAGAAGGAGAGAUCAAAAACCACUAAAGGUCCCUCAUGUCAACCUCUCCCUGUUUUAAUUAAGCAGCAAGUCCACACACCCACCCCCUCUCCCUGAAAAAUGCUUUGCACUCAGCAAGAGCUGCCACACAGCAGGUUGCAGUUAAGCCUUCAGACAACCAGCAGCCUCAGGAAAUGCCAGCAGCCCACAGGUGCGGGGCGCGGCGGGGCCCCUCGGCUCUCCGGCACCCAGGCAGCACAGUCGCACGAUGGACCAAGAAGCUGCGAGAAUGUUCCCUGGACCCUCUUCCAUGGGGCCAUGACCCAAGGCAGCAUGCCUCAAACUGCGACAACCCUCAGCAGGAAAUACAUUUUCCGUGGAGACCCAGCCUACACCUGCAUGCAUCCACACAUAGGAAACUCAAAUAAAAUCUCCCAAACGGCACUUAGCACUAUUGUGUGCAGUGCAUUUGUAUUUUCUACUCUAUUUCUUUGAAUGAUUGUUGCAGCCUUCUACGUUAAUUUUAUCACUCCAUGAUGGCUGCAACUUGAAAACCCAGCCUGCUGGCUGGAUGCACCCAGUCCCCCAAAUGAGGCCCUGGCCUGGUCACCCACCUCCCCUUCUCUCUUCUCCUCUGCCAAUGUCCCCUGCUCCAGCAGACUCCUGGGCUUGCUUCCUGAAUGUCUCCAGUGCUUCCACACUGCCAGGCUUUGCCCAUACCCUUUGUUUAGCCUGGAUGCCCAUUCUUCUGUCUUCUGAUUUUUCCUACAAUUGUGGCCACCUCUGUGAAGUCUUUCCUGAAUUUCUGCGUACCACUUGCUGUUUGCAAGCACCUCUGUUCUCCACUGAUCACACUAGGUGUGGUCAUCCUACUGGGACCGGAUGUGAGCCCUUCAGAAGCUGUUCCCCCUGCCUGGCCAAUGUCCCACAAAUCAGAGUUUCUCCAUCAACGUUUCCACAUGGAAGAGAGCAGGGAGAGAGGGCGGGCAGGAGGAGGCAGGAUUCAUACCUCCGCCAGGGGCAGGUCCAGGUGCUAAGGAGGGAAAGUAUCAUUUAUUGAGUGUCAUCUCUCUGUCAAGGCCCUUCCAUGCUUAGUAGAAAGAAGACAACGGUCUUCAAACUCAACACUGACUACAGCCGCCUUUUUCUCCAAGGCGGGGCAUGAUUCAUCCUGGAGGUAAGAUGUUUAAGAAAACUCUUAGAGAUGACGUGAUAGGCUUUCUUGGAAGAGAAAAGCAAGACUCCUUGGGCUUAAUUCAGAACGGCAGGAAUGAAGUGGAAGCCUAGGAAACGGGGACAUGUCGGUGGAGCCAGGAGAGAGACGACGGGGAGGCCCUGUUUCUAGAGCAGUGAUGUCUGACCUUGAAUUCACGGAGUCCCUGCCACCACCCCAACCUUUAGUAACUUGCAUCAGUAGUCCUUCCUGGGGCAGAAGGAAGACGGAAGGAAGGGCUUACAUAACAGGAUCUGUCUUACAGGGUUUUGUGAGGACCUGAUGGGUUAACAUAAAUAAAGCACUUAGAACAUGGCCUGGUACCGAAAAAGUGUCCCAUUCGUUUCAUUUAAUCAUCACAUCAACUCUUCAAAGUGAAUAUUAUUAUUCCCAUUUCACAGAUAAGGACACUGAGGCUUGGGGGGCUCCAGGAAAAAAAAAACUCAAGGAGAAUCAGCCUCACAGAACCAGCUGACUAGAGAAUGUUUGCUGCGUACCUGUCCUGUGAAAGGCACUGGGGGACGCAAAGACUGAAGGGCCGCCCUGCUCACAAGAGAGUGAUGUUUCUAGUAGGGCUGGUGAAUGGAAGCUCCAGUAGAGGCUUUCUAAGUUCAAAGAGCAGAGAGAUCCCCGGGGGGAAGGAAGGUGGGGAAGAAAGGGAUUUAGGCUGGGCAGGGAAAGCUGUGUUGGGGAAGCAGGCCUGGUGUUCUAACCAGGGUCUGUGAUCAGGUGGAGAGAGAAAACCAGCAGCAGCUCAGGACAGGGGGAUGCGUUAGUCACAUCUGCAGCCUCCACCCUCAGGCCCUCUGCUAGCUGGGACUGAUUACAGAAAAAAAACUGUGCUGAGCCAGAGUGGGUCAAGGGACCCAUUUACCAAGGGCCUCAAAGGUCAACUUUUGAUCUCCAGGGUAGACCGCACACCCUGCUCACUCAGCCAGGGUGGAGAGAGGCGUCCAACCCUCCAUGAUCAUUGUCAAAGGGAAACACGCAGCAGCACAGUGACAAGCCAGGGGCCCUCAACCUUGGUGGCACAUGAGUGAGUGCCACCCCACCGCAAUUGAGUCUGAGUCUCUGGGGGUAGCGCCCAGGCAUCAGUAGGUUUUAGAGCUCUCCAGGGCUGCUGUGCUGGUGAGCACCAAAGGCUGGCUGGAAGCUCUGUUUCUUCAUUUAAAAAAAAAACAGAAGUGGCCAGAGCCUCUCUCCAGGCGAGGAAGAGAAAGCAGGAAAGAACUGGCUUCUCCUUGUGAUCUUGAUCCAAAUCCCUUUUUCUCUCGCUGAGGGAUUCUCCCAGCAACCUCCAAGCAACCAGCCAAGAGACGCUGCCCUGAAUUUUCGGUCCUUA
rnacentral:lncRNA from 1 species